rnacentral:rRNA from 1 species
AUUGAACGCUGGCGGCAGGCUUAACACAUGCAAGUCGAGCGGGGUGAUGGUGCUUGCACUAUCACUUAGCGGCGGACGGGUGAGUAAUGCUUAGGAAUCUGCCUAUUAGUGGGGGACAACAUCUCGAAAGGGAUGCUAAUACCGCAUACGUCCUACGGGAGAAAGCAGGGGAUCACUUGUGACCUUGCGCUAAUAGAUGAGCCUAAGUCGGAUUAGCUAGUUGGUGGGGUAAAGGCCUACCAAGGCGACGAUCUGUAGCGGGUCUGAGAGGAAGAUCCGCCACAAUGGGACUGAGACACGGCCCAGACUCCUACGGGAGGCAGCAGUGGGGAAUAUUGGACAAUGGGGGGAACCCUGAUCCAGCCAUGCCGCGUGUGUGAAGAAGGCCUUAUGGUUGUAAAGCACUUUAAGCGAGGAGGAGGCUCUUUUGGUUAAUACCCAAGAUGAGUGGACGUUACUCGCAGAAUAAGCACCGGCUAACUCUGUGCCAGCCGCCGCAGUAA